rnacentral:rRNA from 1 species
CAAAAACAUCGCCUCUUGACAAAAAAUAAGAGGUCCCGCCUGCCCAGUGACUCAUGUUCAACGGCCGCGGUAUCCUAACCGUGCGAAGGUAGCGUAAUCACUUGUUCUUUAAAUGAGGACUAGUAUGAAUGGCGCCACGAGGGUUAUACUGUCUCCCUUUUCCAAUCAGUGAAACUAAUCUCCCCGUGAAGAAGCGGGGGUAAAGUUAUAAGACGAGAAGACCCUAUGGAGCUUUAAAUUUCAAUUCAUAUGCCUUCAAUCCUAAAGUUUCCACUUUACCCCUACAAGAAUGGCAUAACGAAAUAGAAUUUUAGGUUGGGGUGACCGCGGAGCAAAAAACAACCUCCACAUUGGACUAGGCCUUCCACCUUGAGCAAUGAACUACAAUCCUAUGCGCAAAAAAAUUUUCAUUCAUUGACCCAAUUUUUUGAUCAACGAACCAAGUUACCCUAGGGAUAACAGCGCAAUCCUCUUCAAGAGCUCCUAUCGCCAAGAGGGUUUACGACCUCGAUGUUGGAUCAGGGUAUCCCAGUGGCGCAGCCGCUACUAAUGGUU